AUUGAACGCUGGCGGCAUGCUUUACACAUGCAAGUCGAACGGCAGCGGGGGCUUCGGCCUGCCGGCGAGUGGCGAACGGGUGAGUAAUGCAUCGGAACGUGCCCAUGUCGUGGGGGAUAACUACGCGAAAGCGUGGCUAAUACCGCAUACGCCCUGAGGGGGAAAGCGGGGGAUCUUUCGGGACCUCGCGCGAUUGGAGCGGCCGAUGUCGGAUUAGCUAGUUGGUGGGGUAAAGGCUCACCAAGGCGACGAUCCGUAGCUGGUCUGAGAGGAUGAUCAGCCACACUGGGACUGAGACACGGCCCAGACUCCUACGGGAGGCAGCAGCGGGGAAUUUUGGACAAUGGGCGCAAGCCUGAUCCAGCCAUGCCGCGUGAGUGAAGAAGGCCUUCGGGUUGUAAAGCUCUUUCGGCCGGGAAGAAAUCGCAUUCUCUAAUAUAGGAUGUGGAUGACGGUACCGGACUAAGAAGCACCGGCUAACUACGUGCCAGCAGCCGCCGCCGUAA
rnacentral:rRNA from 1 species